rnacentral:sRNA from 1 species
UAGCCGAUGUUACACAGCAGGGGGCCC